UAUAAAUAAGAGCCUUGGGCUCUCAUAUUUCUUGCACCAUUCUCUUGAUUCAAGAGUCUUUCUCUCCUUAUCCCCCGAGCAUUUCGGUCCCUCGUGAUUCGACUUCUCUUUCUGUAGUUUAGUAUAGUAAGGUGAGCGCUGAAGCGCUGCACGAAUCUUUCUUAGAAAGAUUCAGCGAUGAAGUUCUGCCCCUGCAGAGCCCGACUCCUAGCUAAAACUCCCUUGUUUCGUCGAAGGAAAAUAGAAUCGCUAGAAGCAAGCGCUGCCCGAUUUUGGAAUCAUCACUUUAACAAGUAGUGGCGCUUGAGCAUAAAUAUGAUGUUUGGACGAGGGAUUACAGAUAUAGGCCUGUAGAUAUGAGAUAAUGUAGUAAGGCUUAUAUUGUACUGUUUAUGCUUUUGAUCUGUACGAACAUGACAUCCCAAGU